rnacentral:rRNA from 1 species
AUGUUGAGUUUCAGUUCGAGCUGCAGCGUCAAAGUAGGCUGGCUUCCCUUUCACCACGUCUGCUCUGCAUUCAUGCAUUCAAAAGCUCUAAACACAUCCAGCAGGGAUGUAGCUCCCCUUUCACCUGAUCAAACCAAGGUUUUGAUUAUAUCAGAUAUAUACGACCACGCACCGGGGUUCAGCAUAUCAAGAAUUUUCAAUUCCAUGCAUAGCAGGAUGCUAACUUUAUUAACAGGAUCACACAUGCUAUUGAAUGAACCAUCAGUAAAAGAAAUUGCCAAUACGGAGUCUCAGCUAACACAUUGCUAA